GCCUUCUUAGUGUAGUGGUCAGCACGCUGGGCACAUAUUCCAGAGAUCCGUGGUUCGAUUCCUGGCGAAGGCA
rnacentral:tRNA from 1 species